ACGCUGGCGGCGUGCCUAACACAUGCAAGUCGAACGAGAAAGUACCCUUCGGGGUGCGAGUAAAGUGGCAAACGGGUGAGUAACGCGUGGGAUAUCUACCCUGAUGAGAGGAAUAACUCUCCGAAAGGAGAGCUAAUACCGCAUAAUCCGGAAACGGGAAAGGCCUUAUGGUCGCAUCUGGAGGAGCCCGCGUCCGAUUAGCUGGUUGGUGAGGUAAUGGCUCACCAAGGCGACGAUCGGUAGCCGGUCUGAGAGGACGGACGGUCACACUGGGACUGAGACACGGCCCAGACUCCUACGGGAGGCAGCAGUGGGGAAUUUUGGGCAAUGGGGGAAACCCUGACCCAGCAACGCCGCGUGGAGGAAGAAGGUUUUCGAAUCGUAAACUCCUGUCCCACGAGAAGAAGCAAGUGACGGUAUCGUGGGAGGAAGCCCCGGCUAACUCCGUGCCAGCAGCCGCGGUAAUACGGGGGGGGCGAGCGUUGUUCGGAAUUACUGGGCGUAAAGGGCGCGUAGGCGGUUUCGGAAGUCAAGGGUGAAAGCCCCGAGCUCAACUCGGGAAUUGCCUUUGAAACCACGGAACUAGAGUGCUGGAGAGGAAAGCGGAAUUUCCAGUGUAGCGGUGAAAUGCGUAGAUAUUGGAAGGGACAUCUGAGGCGAAGGCGGCUUUCUGGACAGACACUGACGCUGAGGCGCGAAAGCCAGGGGAGCGAACGGGAUUAGAUACCCCGGUAGUCCUGGCUGUAAACGAUGAACACUUGGUGUGGGGGGUAUAAAGUCCCUCCGUGCCGAAGAUAACUCGAUAAGUGUUCCGCCUGGGGAGUACGGCCGCAAGGCUGAAACUCAAAGGAAUUGACGGGGGCCCGCACAAGCGGUGGAGCAUGUGGUUUAAUUCGACGCAACGCGAAGAACCUUACCGGGGUUUGAACUGUA
rnacentral:rRNA from 1 species